rnacentral:rRNA from 1 species
AGAGUUUGAUCAUGGCUCAGGAUGAACGCUGGCGGCGUGCUUAACACAUGCAAGUCGAACGAAGCACUCUAUUUGAUUUUCUUCGGAAAUGAAGAUUUUGUGACUGAGUGGCGGACGGGUGAGUAACGCGUGGGUAACCUGCCUCAUACAGGGGGAUAACAGUUGGAAACGACUGCUAAUACCGCAUAAGCGCACAGUACUGCAUGGUACGGUGUGAAAAACUCCGGUGGUAUGAGAUGGACCCGCGUCUGAUUAGCCAGUUGGCGGGGUAACGGCCCACCAAAGCGACGAUCAGUAGCCGACCUGAGAGGGUGACCGGCCACAUUGGGACUGAGACACGGCCCAAACUCCUACGGGAGGCAGCAGUGGGGAAUAUUGCACAAUGGGGGAAACCCUGAUGCAGCGACGCCGCGUGAGCGAAGAAGUAUUUCGGUAUGUAAAGCUCUAUCAGCAGGGAAGAAAAAAUGACGGUACCUGACUAAGAAGCACCGGCUAAAUACGUGCCAGCCGCCGCGGUAAUUC